rnacentral:rRNA from 1 species
GGAAUAUUGGACAAUGGGCGCAAGCCUGAUCCAGCCAUGCCGCGUGUGUGAAGAAGGCCUUCGGGUUGUAAAGCACUUUCAGCGAGGAGGAAGGAUGUUGUUUGAAUAGAACAGCAUGUAGACGUUACUCGCAGAAGAAGUACCGGCUAACUCCGUGCCAGCAGCCGCGGUAAUACGGAGGGUGCAAGCGUUACUCGGAAUUACUGGGCGUAAAGCGCACUUAGGCGGUAUGUUAAGUUGGAUGUGAAAGCCCCGGGCUCAACCUGGGAAUUGCAUUCAAAACUGGCAUGCUAGAGUAUGUGAGAGGGGGGUAGAAUUCCAAGUGUAGCGGUGAAAUGCGUAGAGAUUUGGAGGAAUACCAGUGGCGAAGGCGGCCCCCUGGCACAAUACUGACGCUCAGGUGCGAAAGCGUGGGGAGCAAAC